AGUGAACGCUGGCGGUAGGCCUAACACAUGCAAGUCGAACGGCAGCACAGUAAGAGCUUGCUCUUACGGGUGGCGAGUGGCGGACGGGUGAGGAAUACAUCGGAAUCUACUUUUUCGUGGGGGAUAACGUAGGGAAACUUACGCUAAUACCGCAUACGACCUACGGGUGAAAGCAGGGGAUCUUCGGACCUUGCGCGAUUGAAUGAGCCGAUGGCGGAUUAGCUAGUUGGCGGGGUAAAGGCCCACCAAGGCGACGAUCCGUAGCUGGUCUGAGGGGAGGAUCAGCCACACUGGAACUGAGACACGGUCCAGACUCCUACGGGAGGCAGCAGUGGGGAAUAUUGGACAAUGGGCGCAAGCCUGAUCCAGCCAUACCGCGUGGGUGAAGAAGGCCUUCGGGUUGUAAAGCCCUUUUGUUGGGAAAGAAAAGCAGCAGGUUAAUACCCCGCUGUUCUGACGGUACCCAAAGAAUAAGCACCGGCUAACUUCGUG
rnacentral:rRNA from 1 species